rfam:Myotis lucifugus cont2.26233, whole genome shotgun sequence.
AUCACUUCUUGGCCUUUUGGCUAAGAUCAAGUGUAGUAUCAAAUAGCUCAUCCUACUCCAGCACACAUUUAAAUAGUUUCCAUCCUAA